rnacentral:rRNA from 1 species
UACGUAGGGUGCAAGCGUUGUCCGGAAUUAUUGGGCGUAAAGAGCUCGUAGGCGGUUUGUUGCGUCGGCUGUGAAAUCCCGAGGCUCAACCUCGGGUCUGCAGUCGAUACGAGCAAACUAGAGUGUUGCAGGGGAGACUGGAAUUCCUGGUGUAGCGGUGAAAUGCGCAGAUAUCAGGAGGAACACCGGUGGCGAAGGCGGCAUCCUGGACCGACAUUGACGCUGAUGAGCGAAAGCUAGGGGAGCAAACGGG